UACGUAGGUGACAAGCGUUGUCCGGAUUUACUGGGCGUAAAGAGCGCGCAGGCGGUCGUUCAAGUCGAGUGUGAAAGCCCCCGGCUCAACUGGGGAGGGUCACUCGAUACUGAUCGACUCGAAGGCAGGAGAGGGAAGUGGAAUUCCCGGUGUAGUGGUGAAAUGCGUAGAUAUCGGGAGGAACACCAGUGGCGAAGGCGGCUUCCUGGCCUGUUCUUGACGCUGAGGCGCGAAGGCUAGGGGAGCAAACGGG
rnacentral:rRNA from 1 species